UCAUUGUAAUCCUUCAUCAAUUAAAAAUUUUAUGUCAUCGUACACAACCCCUCAAUAGAAAUCUUGAAGCAAUUACCAGUUACAAAUUAAUCAAUUCAUUACGAUUCAAUUCAAUUCUUUCAUUCUUUUACUUUGUCUUUUAAGUUUCCCCUCAGUUUCCACUCACCCCUUUUAACAUCUGCACAAUGGAAAUCAAACACCCAUAAAUCGGUCCACAUAUCAGUAGAACGAAGACCAGAAGAUUAUGAAGACGUCAAAGACCACCAAUCACCAAUUGAAGCCAAGCUAAUGCCCGUAAAACAUAAGGUCACGGGUCGGCACGUUAUCGGGUCAUGGUUCAAAUGGUUAUUCGUUUAUAGUUCACGGGUAUGGGUCAGUCGAUCACGGGUCAAGUAGCUAAAUUAUCCAGGGGUAAAUGGGUCUUUUGACCAUGUAAAUGGAUGUGACUUCGUGAGAUUGUUGAAGCCUUUUGCAACAAGUUUUGACCAAGUUAUGUGGACGUGAUACAAAUCUUGAAGAAUCAUGUACAAAUGAAGCAAGCCAUUUUAGAGGGGGGAAACUUGGACAUUGUCCAAAGUUUUAAGACACUUUGAGGGCAAUCUAGACAUUUCAUCCAUAGAAUUCAUGUCCACUUAUGUCUUCCAUUAAUUGAAUUAAAUUAAGGAAUUAAAUAAAAAUUUUAUAAUAAUUAAAGGCAUUAAUUGAUUAAAUUAAAGGUUAGACAUGCAACCUUUGGGAUUUUCAAUAUUUAAUAGUAUGUAUAAAUAUAAAUAAUCUAUACUACCUUAUUAAGAGAAUUAGGAUUUUUACCCUUUUAUUAGUUUUACGUUGUGUACACAUUUUGAAGCAACAUGUACAAGAGAGCCAAACUAUUUUAGAGGGGGUAAACUUGCGCAUUUCCCAAAAAUUUAAGACACUUUAGGGGCAUUUUAGUGACUUAGGCAUCGUUGUA
rnacentral:lncRNA from 1 species